rnacentral:rRNA from 1 species
GGCAGAGGUGACAGCACAUUGAAUGCACCAGUUCCCCACGGAUCACUGAAGUUAAGCAACGUUGUGCAUGGUUAGAACCUGGAUUACUAAGAAUCCCUAAUA